rnacentral:lncRNA from 1 species
AUAAAUAGAAUGCUUGCCCUUUGCUGUGGUUUUAGUCAACACCUUGGAGAGCAGAGGCAUUCCAAUUAUAAGUGGGAGAUGUAUACGAAUGUUCCAUUGAUGAAAUGGCUUUCCUCACGAUGUGAAAAUUAAAGAAUCCCUGGACCCAAACCCCUUUAAAACCCCCAAACAAGACUCCUGCCACUGCAGGAAGUCAAUUAUCUCCAUGGCAACCAAAACAAAUAGUGAAUAUUG